AUACGGAGGGUGCAAGCGUUGUUCGGAAUUACUGGGCGUAAAGCGCGCGUAGGCGGUCUGUUAUGUCAGAUGUGAAAGUCCUCGGCUCAACCGGGGAAGUGCAUUUGAAACUGGCAGACUUGAGUACUGGAGGGGGUGGUGGAAUUCCCGGUGUAGAGGUGAAAUUCGUAGAUAUCGGGAGGAAUACCGGUGGCGAAGGCGACCACCUGGCCAGAUACUGACGCUGAGGUGCGAAAGCGUGGGGAGCAAACAGAAUUAGAUACCCCAGUAGUCC
rnacentral:rRNA from 1 species